CUUCCGUAGGUGAACCUGCGGAAGGAUCAUUACUGAGUGCGGGCUGCCUCCGGGCGCCCAACCUCCCACCCGUGAAUACCUAACACUGUUGCUUCGGCGGGGAACCCCCUCGGGGGCGAGCCGCCGGGGACUACUGAACUUCAUGCCUGAGAGUGAUGCAGUCUGAGUCUGAAUAUAAAAUCAGUCAAAACUUUCAACAAUGGAUCUCUUGGUUCCGGCAUCGAUGAAGAACGCAGCGAACUGCGAUAAGUAAUGUGAAUUGCAGAAUUCAGUGAAUCAUCGAGUCUUUGAACGCACAUUGCGCCCCCUGGCAUUCCGGGGGGCAUGCCUGUCCGAGCGUCAUUGCUGCCCAUCAAGCCCGGCUUGUGUGUUGGGUCGUCGUCCCCCCCGGGGGACGGGCCCGAAAGGCAGCGGCGGCACCGUGUCCGGUCCUCGAGCGUAUGGGGCUUUGUCACCCGCUCGACUAGGGCCGGCCGGGCGCCAGCCGACGUCUCCAACCAUUUUUCUUCAGGUUGACCUCGGAUCAGGUAGGGAUACCCGCUGAACUUAAGCAUAUCAAUAAGCGGAGGA
rnacentral:misc_RNA from 1 species